rnacentral:rRNA from 1 species
CCAGACUCCUACGGGAGGCAGCAGUGAGGAAUAUUGGUCAAUGGACGAGAGUCUGAACCAGCCAAGUAGCGUGAAGGAUGACUGCCCUAUGGGUUGUAAACUUCUUUUAUAUGGGAAUAAAAUGUUCCACGCGUGGGAUUUUGUAUGUACCAUAUGAAUAAGGAUCGGCUAACUCCGUGCCAGCAGCCGCGGUAAUACGGAGGAUCCGAGCGUUAUCCGGAUUUAUUGGGUUUAAAGGGAGCGUAGGUGGAUUGUUAAGUCAGUUGUGAAAGUUUGCGGCUCAACCGUAAAAUUGCAGUUGAAACUGGCAGUCUUGAGUACAGUAGAGGUGGGCGGAAUUCGUGGUGUAGCGGUGAAAUGCAUAGAUAUCACGCAGAACUCCGAUUGCGAAGGCAGCAUACCGGCGCGCAACUGACGCCCAUGCACGAAAGCGUGGGUAUCGAACAGGAUUAGAUACCCGCGUAUC